rnacentral:tRNA from 1 species
UGGGUAUAGCUCAGUGGUAGAGUGCGUGCUUAGCAUGCACGAGGUCCUGGGUUCAAUCCCCAGCACCUCAA